CCUGCCUAUGUAGGAGCGGAGCAGAUUCCCUGUGGUCCAUGGCCGAUAAACCGAACGCAGCCGAUAAGAAAGUGUGCGGCUCUUGCCCAAGGCAGCAUGCUGGAUGUUGGGCUAAUGAUUCUGGGGCGGGGAGUGGAGGGGUGGUGGGAGACACAAGCAGUGCAGCCGCAGCCGAGCCAAGCCAAAGGAGAGGAACAAUGAUCGUGAUCCUAGGGGCUGCGAAUGGACCAAAUCAUGGGUGCGGCCUCACCGGUCACGAGUCAGCACCCAUGAUGAAGAAAUGCAAAGCGGCACCACUUCCAUGUGGAGAUUGCUAGGCCGCACACCGCGCACCUCCGGCGUACAGUGCUGCCGCACAAGGCGAUGUGUAGGGCUGUUCCAUCCAGAUGCGUCAACGUCACAACUCACAAAGAGAAGAGGAGAAAGUUCUGGCCCGGCCCACCACACCCACAUGUUAGUACCGCUCUAGUUGCUGUGGGAUACUAUUACGCCGAAACUGUAUUUUAGGAUGAGCCUUUACCUAGCUACAGAUUGUCCGUCAUGCUUUUUAAUUAGCCUUGAUUAAUGAUGACACGCAUCCGUGGUGCCGUGUCGACUGUGUGUCGCGGUGGUGGGGAUGCCGGCGUCGACGUUGCCUGCAAUGGUGGCGCAUUAUGACGCGGUCGCGGCGGCGACCGGGAGAGGAGGGACCGUGCAUCAUGCCUCCGGCAGGGUGCAGCGGUCACGGCCAGUGGUGGAACCCGCCGGGACCGGGAGAUACGCGCCGUGUCUCUCUCUGUCUUGCUAUCAACGGGUUUGUCACGAGGGGCCGACGUCGAUUUCCUUCUGUUGAUGUCGUUUGCUUCAGCGGUUGGUCCGGUCCAGGAGGCGCUAAACCAUUGUGGCCAGGUAAGGUAUGGAUCCUUUUGCUUCCUCCAGUGAAGAACGAACAAAUGUCUGUGUAGUUGUGAGAUUAUACUUGUCCUCUAAGAACUGCGAGCUGUGAGUACGGCCGAAUGUCAGCGCUCUUUCUUUGUUUGAUUGACUGGUGGCGGUUGUCUCUGGAAAAAGAAUUCCUAACCGGAGGAAGCAGGCCUUCUUGCUCGUUGAUGAUGGCUAUUUGGUGGGGCAUUUUGGAAGGAACGAAAUGACCGCAUCUUCAAUCAUAAAGUUUCUUCCUUUCUGAAUAUUUGUGAUCGAAUUGUACUUGAGUUGCACACUUGGGACUGCCGGCCUCAAGAGUGUUCAAUGGCUGGGCGAUCAUGGUUGAGAGAGUUUUGUUUCUAGCAAUGUAAUUUCUUCUCUUCUUUU